rnacentral:rRNA from 1 species
GCAGAGAUGCUAUAGCGCCUUCGGGAACUCUGAGACAGGUGCUGCAUGGCUGUCGUCAGCUCGUGUUGUGAAAUGUUGGGUUAAGUCCCGCAACGAGCGCAACCCUUAUCCUUUGUUGCCAGCGGUUCGGCCGGGAACUCAAAGGAGACUGCCAGUGAUAAACUGGAGGAAGGUGGGGAUGACGUCAAGUCAUCAUGGCCCUUACGAGUAGGGCUACACACGUGCUACAAUGGCGCAUACAAAGAGAAGCGACCUCGCGAGAGCAAGCGGACCUCAUAAAGUGCGUCGUAGUCCGGAUUGGAGUCUGCAACUCGACUCCCUGAAGUCGGAAUCGCUAGUAAUCGU